rnacentral:tRNA from 2 species
CGGGGAGUAGCGCAGCCUGGUAGCGCACCUGCUUUGGGAGCAGGGGGUCGCUGGUUCGAAUCCAGUCUCCCCGACCA